UACGUAGGGUGCAAGUGUUGUCCGGAAUUAUUGGGCGUAAAGAGCUCGUAGGCGGCUUGUCGCGUCGGCUGUGAAAACCUGGGGCUCAACCCCGGGCCUGCAGCCGAUACGGGCAAGCUAGAAUUCGGUAGGGGAGACUGGAAUUCCUGGUGUAGCGGUGAAAUGCGCAGAUAUCAGGAGGAACACCGGUGGCGAAGGCGGGUCUCUGGGCCGAUAUUGACGCUGAGGAGCGAAAGCGUGGGGAGCGAACAGG
rnacentral:rRNA from 1 species